rnacentral:rRNA from 1 species
UACGUAGGGUGCGAGCGUUGUCCGGAAUUACUGGGCGUAAAGAGCUCGUAGGUGGUUUGUUGCGUUGUCCGUGAAAACUCACAGCUCAAUUGGGAGCGUGCGGGCGAUACGGGCAGACUGGAGUACUGCAGGGGAGACUGGAAUUCCUGGUGUAGCGGUGAAAUGCGCAGAUAUCAGGAAGAACACCAAUGGCGAAGGCAGCUCUCUGGGACGGUACUGACGCUGAGACGCGAAAGCGUGGGGAGCGAACAGG